UGUAGUCGUCGCAGAGGUGAAGGUGACAGCUUCUAAUGCAUGAACCUGACAAAACCUAAAGACAAUGAAAUUCAUAUCUGGUAGAAGUUUAACAUUUGUAUAGAUGAAGUUACAAUAAAUUAGAGUAGGAGAAACAGCCAGAUCAGGCACUGGUUAGAGGUAUUAAAUAGAAUAAUUCUAGCCAAUGGGAAAUGGCAGAUGCAUGUCUGGAUCAGCAUCCAAGCAGAUAGACAAGAUUAGGUCAAAAAUAAAUCAUGGUUUGCUCUCUUUCUGAGUAAUUCUUUAUUUUUCUUUCAAUCUUAAAUAAUUGACAAGCUAUUUAGGCAACUGCGAACAUUGAACAAACAAAGAUUUGUUAGGAUCUUGUUAUAUUCAAUUACAUCUAGUACCUAACUCAUUUCUGUCAGAGUGGACACAGUUAAACAUCGGAUUAGCUGGCAUCUUGCUUUAAGGGACUAUUUGUUUCAGAACAAGGCCAGUUCAAGCUAAAGAAACACAGUGUAUGGCAUAAUAGAGAGGGAUGUGAAAUCCAAAUUCCAACAAGACCUUGUUUAAUCACAGGGUUCAAAUCAAGCUUUGGUAGCGGACAGGAUGGAUAAUGGGUGAUUGUCGUGUGCCAAUUGACAAACAAUAAGGACGAAUGUCACACUAUUGGCAUGUCAAUUUUGGUCUUGCCCUGAAGAAAGCUAGGCAUGCUCGGCCAAUUCUAUGUCAAAAAGCUAAGAAUUCUAUUGCACACGCCCGAUUUGGAAAACAAUAUCAUGUGACUGCUUCAAGUAAAGUCCUCAACAGUCUGUUGUGGUUUUCGUCCUCUUUGAAAGUCGCAAUAACUUUACUAGAAACUUUUUUGGUAGAAAUGUGCUCAUAUUCACCUUGGGAAAUGUAAAAACAUAUAGAUUGAAGAACAAGAUAUACACCUAUGUCAAGGCUAGAAAUGGACUGAUAUGGAAACCUAUGAAACAAAGCAAGUUAGCUGGUAAGCCCUGUCGAAGAUAUGCA
rnacentral:lncRNA from 1 species